UUUUGUUCCAGCCGGUAGGUCUCUAGACGUUACAGAGAACCCCAAAUAACCCAAUCUGCUAAUCUUCGAUAUCGCUUUAUACUCACGACCUUGUAUCCACUGACUGUCUUGUUAGAUUAACCCAAAAAUUUUCAUUCACUCCGCAUACUCAAUCUUAUAGAUACUUUUUUAAUUCUUUAAUCAUAGACGUAACUUCGAUUUCACAAAACAAUCAAGAGUAAUCACACCCACUUCAAAAAAAUCCCGA
rnacentral:lncRNA from 1 species